AGCGAACGCUGGCGGCGUGGAUAAGGCAUGCAAGUCGAGCGAUCCCCGCAAGGGAGUAGCGGCAAACGGGUGCGUAACGCGUAGUAACCUACCCUGAAGAGCGGGAUAACUUGGAGAAAUCCNGGCUAAUACCGCAUAUGCCUGCAGGAGCGCAUGCUCCAGCAGGGAAAGAUGGCCUCGACCGCAAGGUUGCUAUCACUUCAGGAGGGACCUGCGUCCCAUCAGCUAGUUGGUAGGGUCACGGCCUACCAAGGCAUUUGACGGGUAGCUAGCCUUAGAGGGCGGUUAGCCACACUGGGACUGAGACACUGCCCAGACUCCUACGGGAGCUGCAGUCGAGAUC
rnacentral:rRNA from 1 species